UACGAAGGGGGCUAGCGUUGUUCGGAAUCACUGGGCGUAAAGCGCACGCAGGCGGAUCGUUAAGUCAGGGGUGAAAUGCCGAGGCUCAACCUCGGAACUGCCUUUGAUACUGGCGAUCUUAGAGUCCGGGAGAGGUGAGUGGAACUCCGAGUGUAGAGGUGAAAUUCGUAGAUAUUCGGAAGAACACCAGUGGCGAAGGCGCUCACUGGCCCGGUACUGACGCUCAGGUGCGAAAGCGUGGG
rnacentral:rRNA from 1 species